rnacentral:rRNA from 1 species
UGCAGCCUGCAACUCGGCUGCAUGAAGCUGGAAUCGCUAGUAAUCGCGGAUCAGAAUGCCGCGGUGAAUACGUUCCCGGGUCUUGUACACACCGCCCGUCACACCAUGGGAGUAGGUAAUGCCCGAAGUCGGUGACCUAACCGGAAGGAAGGAGCCGCCGAAGGCAGGACUUAUAACUGGGGUGAAGUCGUAACAAGGUACC